rnacentral:rRNA from 1 species
UACCAGCACCCCGAGUGGUCGGGGCGAUUAUUGGGCCUAAAGCAUCCGUAGCCGGCCCUACAAGUCUUCCGUUAAAUCCACCUGCUUAACAGAUGGGCUGCGGAAGAUACUAUAGGGCUAGGAGGCGGGAGAGGCAAGCGGUACUCAGUGGGUAGGGGUAAAAUCCUCUGAUCCACUGAAGACCACCAGUGGCGAAGGCGGCUUGCCAGAACGCGCUCGACGGUGAGGGAUGAAAGCUGGGGGAGCAAACCGG